rnacentral:rRNA from 1 species
UGGGGGAUAUUGCACAAUGGGCGAAAGCCUGAUGCAGCGACGCCGCGUGGGGGAUGAAGGCCUUCGGGUUGUAAACUUCUUUUGCUCUGAACAAGGCAUGCUAAUGGGUGUGUUGAGCGUAGGGGUUGAUUAGCGCCGGCUAACUACGUGCCAGCAGCCGCGGUAAUACGUAGGGCGCGAGCGUUGUCCGGAAUUAUUGGGCGUAAAGGGCUUGUAGGUGGCUGGUUGCGUCUGUCGUGAAAGCUCAUGGCUUAACUGUGGGUUUGCGGUAGGUGCGGGCUGGCUUGAGUGCAGUAGGGGAGGCUGGAAUUCCUGGUGUAGCGGUGGAAUGCGCAGAUGUCAGGAGGAAUACCAGUGGCGAAGGCGGGUCUCUGGGCUGUUACUGACACUGAGGAGUGAAAGCAUGGGGAGCGAACAGG